GCGAAAGAUUACUGUGAUUGGCGUGAAUCGCUAUCUAUGUGUGUGUGAAUGUACAAAGAAUGGGUUCUUGGAGAUUAUAAAUGAACAGCGAAGUAACAGUCUUGAUGACAGUUCGUUCUUGUGAUACUAGUAUGCAGUUUUUUUGCAUUCUAAAUUCAGUGUUCUUGCUGGACUUUUGCAAUUUAUUAUUAUUAUUAAUUUUUUACUUGAUUGUUUUGUUUACAAUGAUUUGAUAUGAAUGUAACUUAAGUAAAAUAAAGUUUUAAUACUCA
rnacentral:misc_RNA from 1 species